GCAGCAUAUUGGUAGUGUUUACCUGCUGCAUCCAGUCCGCCUGGGCUGGGUUGGAGCUGCUCUCUGGGAUCUGGUUAGCAGCUAAUGAUCAGUGGGCUCUGGCUAUAAUGAUCGGAUUAGCUGCGCUUUAAUCACUGUCUAUUGUUUCAGCAGGGAGAGAAUUUCACAGCUCAUUGACUGCUCUGACUCCUAAUCUACACCGAGGAAACAAUGUUGCAGCUCAUCAAAUGCAAUCAGCUGCUAAUUGAAAGGAAAUGGAAUUUUACAAUUACAGGCCACCUUUCAGUGCUCAGGAUUUCUAAGCACUUCUCCCCACCUUCCUUUGCCAGCUCAGCACUGGCAGGAGCACUUGACAACCUGCUAGAGACUUCCCUAAAAGCUGCAUUUAGGACCUGGCCCGUUCUCCCCAGCUCCAGAGCAGCAGCAAAGGGAAGCAGCGUCCUCGCCAAUACCUGGGCUGUCCUUCAAGGCUCAGUGCAAGGAAAAACACCUGGGUUGGACAUCAGGCUCAUGAUGAGUGUUGAAGGCAUUAUGACUCUCACCCAGAGGGACACCAUGUCUAGGAGCUUCUUCUCGUGUGGGCCCUGUUCUCCAGAUGUCUGAUGGAUAAGGAAAUUGAGACUCAAAGAGGACCCCCAUGGAGAAAGUAAUGAAGCUUGAAUUUAGACCCAAGAUCAUGUCCCUUUCACUUCCUCAGCCUGCCCAGGAAGUUUAUAGCGUGCUCAUGCCACAAACCCUGGAGCUGGAUACGCGCUCAAUUGGCUUGAAGACCUUGGGUAGUGCUGACUUCCAGACCACUGAGGUCACCUGCAUAAGCGAGUCUGGCAACAAAUAAUCGUCUUCCAGAAAAUGACCAGAAACUCAGCCUGCUUUUUGUCAUUUCACCAGCCCCACCAUCUUUCCUUUAUUCUAGAGCUCCUGGCACACUUACAUGAAUCUCUUGAAAGAAGAGAAAUGAGAGCAUUCAUUCCAUACUAAUACAAUUGUGCCCUAUGGAAAGGCUUUUUGCUGGCAGACAUAGUAGACGGACCAUUUCCCAACUUCUUUUUCUUUGCCACCUUCCAGCCAAAGGUGUCCAUAUGACACAGCUCUGGACAGGAUAAUUGGAAGUCUGUUGUGGGAUUUCUGAGAAAGCUUUUGAUUUUCUGACAGAGACAUUUUUGCUUCCCCUUACCACUUCCUACUGGAUUACAGAUGUGAUGGAAAGAGCUGCAGCAGCCAUAAUACAACCAUAAAGGAGAGGAGAAGAGAAUUGCAAAGGCAUCAACCCACAUUGAAUUGAACUGCUAAGUUAACACUAGCAGUUACUUGCCUCCAGAUAUCUUGGUGUGUGAGAACAUUAAAUCUGUAUGUGUCUAAAUCAGUAUGGGUGAACAUUUCUGUCACUAAAGUCAAAAGCAUCCCUGAAACAGUGCAUGAUUCCAUAUGACCCUUACCACAACCCUGGUAAAUAG
rnacentral:lncRNA from 1 species